CCUCCUUCAACAGUGGUCUCCGCAGGCCCCACAUCCCAUAGGCUUUUAUUUUUUUUAACCAGCGCUGUCUCAAGAAUUGGAGUGGAGCUCUUCAGCCCCUUCCCGCCACACAGAUUUUCAAAUCAGUUCAAGCAAACGACCCCGGCUCAUUUAUCAGACCCCGACGGCGCCCACCGAGUCCCAGACCCUCCCUCUUCCUGCCUGUCAGCUACAGCGCCGGCGUGCCAGCAGGCACGUGCCACAGGUGGCCUCGGCCACGCACGCCCCCGGCCUGGUUCCCGCUCCUUCAGAAGUGAGGAAGGAAGCACCAAGGGACCCCCCGCUUCCAGCCCAACACAGGGAAAGGGAAAGAGAGAUGCACCGGAAAGCCUGCUUGCAACGAGCGGGAGAAGGGUCCUGAGCCUUCCCAUUGCAGCUCCAAGCUCGGCUCUCCGCUGCGGAGUGUCGGGACGCGUCCUAGAGAGCGAAGUUCACCCGGGCGCCGCCGCAACUGUGCCGCUCUGGCCCGCGGACCCCCGAUCGAGCUGGCCUGCUCCCCGGCUGCAUCCGCCCGCCCCAGCGCUGUCCCCGCGCCCCAGUCCCCAAACCGCGUCCGGGACCCUGGCCGAGCCCUCCCGCGCCCUCGCCGCGUUCACCCGCCUCCGUCCCUUAAGUCCUGCUCCCUGGUACCCCGGAUCCCGGCCGAGUUCUCGGUCCCCGCUCGCCCCAGCUCAGGUCCCCAUGCGCGCGGAACUCCGUUCGCUCGCGCGCCCCAAGCCCCUGGAGCGGACGCUGGCGCCAGCUCGAAACAAAGAGGUUGGCGGUGCGCCCCCCGCUCCAGUACCUGGACGAGCGGCGGCGCGGUCGGUCCCGCGGGGCGAUGGCCGCAGCAGGCAGGGCUCCGAACAGCGCGAGCAGUGCGCGGGCGGGCCCGUCCUCCUGGCUCGCGGCCGCGCCCGCCGCAGGGCCCCCUCGAGGCGGCACGGGCAAUCGCCGCCGCCGCGCCCUGGCCGGCCGGUCACCUGGCCUCCUCGCCCUAACAAUGCGGCGCGUUCCAGGCGCGCCCCGGGCCCCGUGCGCCUCUGGGACCUCCCUAAGUUGGCCAGGUGGAACCGGGAAUUAUUAGACCCGUUGAGCAGCCCAGAUUCAAAGUGUUCAGGGGGCUGGUGGGUCCCGGAUGGGCAAACGAUUUCCUGA
rnacentral:lncRNA from 1 species